AACGAACGCUGGCGGCACGCCUAACACAUGCAAGUCGAGCGCUACCUUCGGGUGGAGCGGCGGACGGGUUAGUAACGCGUGGGAACAUACCCAACACUACGGAAUAGCCUCGGGAAACUGAGAGUAAUACCGUAUACGCCCUUCGGGGGAAAGAUUUAUCGGUGAUGGAUUGGCCCGCGUUAGAUUAGAUAGUUGGUGGGGUAAUGGCCUACCAAGUCUACGAUCUAUAGCUGGUUUGAGAGGAUGAUCAGCAACACUGGGACUGAGACACGGCCCAG
rnacentral:rRNA from 1 species